rnacentral:rRNA from 1 species
GAUGAACGCUGGCGGCGUGCCUAAUACAUGCAAGUCGAGCGAACGGACGAGAAGCUUGCUUCUCUGAUGUUAGCGGCGGACGGGUGAGUAACACGUGGAUAACCUACCUAUAAGACUGGGAUAACUUCGGGAAACCGGAGCUAAUACCGGAUAAUAUUUUGAACCGCAUGGUUCAAAAGUAAAAGACGGUCUUGCUGUCACUUAUAGAUGGAUCCGCGCUGCAUUAGCUAGUUGGUAAGGUAACGGCUUACCAAGGCAACGAUGCAUAGCCGACCUGAGAGGGUGAUCGGCCACACUGGAACUGAGACACGGUCCAGACUCCUACGGGAGGCAGCAGUAGGGAAUCUUCCGCAAUGGGCGAAAGCCUUACGGAGCAACGCCGCGUGAGUGAUGAAGGUCUUCGGAUCGUAAAACUCUGUUAUUAGGGAAGAACAUAUGUGUAAGUAACUGUGCACAUCUUGACGGUACCUAAUCAGAAAGCCACGGCUAACUACGUG